rnacentral:rRNA from 1 species
UACGGAGGGGACUAGCGUUGUUCGGAAUUACUGGGCGUAAAGCGCACGUAGGCGGAUUUGUAAGUCAGGGGUGAAAUCCCGGGGCUCAACCUCGGAACUGCCUUUGAUACUGCGAAUCUCGAGUCCGGAAGAGGUGAGUGGAAUUCCUAGUGUAGAGGUGAAAUUCGUAGAUAUGUGGAAGAACACCGGUGGCGAAGGCGGUUUUCUAGCUUAGACCUGACGCUGAGGCGCGAAAGCAAGGGGAGCAAACAGG